GGGCCUAUAGAUCAGUUGGUUAUAGAGUACACACCUAAUAAUUGUGAGGUCGGUGGUUCAAGUUACACAUUUAGGCCCACCA
rnacentral:tRNA from 4 species